rnacentral:rRNA from 1 species
GACGAACGCUGGCGGCGUGCUUAACACAUGCAAGUCGAACGGAAAGGCCCUGCUUUUGUGGGGUGCUCGAGUGGCGAACGGGUGAGUAACACGCGAGUAACCUGCCCUUGACUUUGUGAUAACUUCAGGAAACUCGGGCUCAUACCGGAUAGGAGCUCCUGCUGCAUGGUGGGGGUUGGAAAGUUUCGGCGGUUGGGGAUGGAUUCGCGGGUUAUCCGCUUGUUUGUGGGGUAGUGGCUUACCAAGGCUUUGACGGCUAGCCGGCAUGGGAGGGGGACCGGCCACAAGGGGACUGAGAUACGGCGCAGAAUGCUACGGGAGGCAGCAGUGGGGAAUAUUGCGCAAUGGGCGGAAGCGUGAGGCAGAAACGCCGCGUGCGGGAAGACGGCCUUCGGGUUGUAAACCGAUUUCGCCUGUGACGAAGCGUGAGUGACGGUAAUGGGUAAAGAAGCACCGGCUAACUACGUG